GUGGGGGCUCGAUCUCAUACAGGGAUGCCGGCGACGCGGCGACGCAGGCGGUCCACGAUGGGAUCCAGUGUUUGCUGGUCUUCCCAGUGGAUCGAGCCGAGGCGCUCAAGGCGAUCUAGCGGCGCGCGGCCUUCUCAAUGGAUCCAGCCGAAGCGCGCUAGGGAAUCAUCCUAGGGUUUGGAGUUGGUGACCGAGGAGGAGGCGGCACCGGCGAUGGUGCGCAAGCCGUGCACGAGGCCACGGCGACUCCACAAAGUCUGCUCCGCUCUCCCCGACCCUCGACGGCGUGCUCUCCGAUCUGCACUCCCUCCUUCUCUCCACGCUCGCCGCGUCGCUGCGCUCCCCAUCACCAUGGCAACGAUGUGAGUUUCAGUGUGCCCAGCUCAUCCCGUGUUCGAUUGGGCUGGGGCGCUCAUGGCGGCGCUGGAAGGAAUCUCCUAGCCAAAUUUUAGCAUGGAGGCGCCUUCCAGAGCACCUUGCCGCUGGUAGUGAUGUCCGACGGCGUGAGGACAUGGUGAGGCUUCAAUGAAUCAUCCAUGGAUUCGACGAUUUCAAGGCUUCAAUGGAUUAAAUCUGAGAAGAUAAUUCUUGAAAUGGAGGAGGUUCAAUUGGUGUUCCUGGAGAUGACAAGAAAGAUCAUUCAAGGGAAGAGGAUUUGUUGCGAGAGAGUCGGAUACCGGUGUGGAUGAUCCUCUCAAUGGACUCAUUGCAGCAUCACAAAGACACAGGCAACGGUGCUACUGCUGAUGGUAGAGAGGAGAUCAACGGCAAGGGAGGCAAGGGAAAAACUGAGGGUCAAAGAGGGUUUACAACUAGGUAUAAAGCUUCAUGAGGACUCAUCUUCUUGGGAUGGAAGAUGAUCAGUUACUGGUGCUUGUGAAUAUCUGCGGAAGUACAGUAGCCUGUAGCUUUGUAGGCGUUGAACUAAAUACCAAUCAAAGUAGGAGCGAAAGGAAGAUAAUAUAGGUUUUGAUCCGCCAAAAGGUCUAUUUAUUCUCAUUUCAGUUAAGAUUUACCUCUAAAACAUUGCAUGAAUUCCUGCGCAUAUUGGAUACUUUAUUUAUGCACCUUCUUGCAUUUUAAUUCCAUGUAAGUUGUGCACUCUAUUUAGUAAGUUAUUUGUAUUUUGGCUACAAAUGAUUUUAUUGGAUAUAUUGUAGACAUUUUCUGCAGGGACUGUUGCAACUUGCUAGACAUAGGAAAAGAUGGGAGUCAAUCCAAGAUGACAUCAGCAACCAAAGGUUAAUGCGAUUACUCCAUUAAGUGAAGGUUAGUCGUUGCUCCUUGAUCAAGGCUAUUAAUUUAUAGAUGGGUUUUCGAAUAUACUCAUAGUAGUCCAGUGAUGAGUAUAAGUUGAAGCAAGAGUCUAUUAAAUAAAUAAAAAACAUUUUCAUUUGAAAGUAGCCAUAAGAUAGAAAUGGAUAUACAUAUGUUGUAUAAUGAAACGAAGAUGUAUAUAGCAUGUCCAGCUUCAAGAGACUAUUUUCCUCUUUUUGGUUAUACUUACUACUGUCCAUUUCAAGACAAAAGAAAACUACUGCGAAACAACUUUUUUAGACUGUUUUUAUCAUUUUCAAUAGCUCAUGGUUCAAUUAUGUUUAACUUUUUGUCACCUUAAUGUUAUGAAAAUUCCUAUCAACCUAUUGCCAAAACAGAUGGGCGCGGCAACGCGCGCCUCCGAUGAUCUAGUUUCAUAUUAUCAUUGAUCCUUGCGAAGAUCACGGUUCUGCUCUUCCAAUAAAAUAACCUCAUUGCCUCCAUUGGGGGUAUGAGUUGAUUUCCUUCUUCAUGGAUCCGGCCAGUCGUGACCCCUUUAGUUUCCUCCUGCCCGGCAGUGUCCUCAUCUCCAGACGACCACUCAUAAUAGACCUCACUAAAAGGGCGUUUGCCCUCGAGGGUUGCAUGAUUCAAUGCUUGGUACGGAGCCUUCGGGGUGCCAUGGGGAGCUUGACGACCAAGUCCUGUCAGAAAAAUGGCCCGAAAGAAGAACAGAGGAUAAACUUGCGAUACGGUGGUCAAAACAGCGAGGAGUAUAUAUAAUGAUUUUUUUCAUGCAGGACAAGUAAUCUGGAAGGAAACAGAGUCGGUAAAGUCCACAGGGAGUCACGAGCCCACAC